rnacentral:lncRNA from 1 species
AUGUUUGUAGAUAGUCAUGAUGAGGCAGCGAGGAGCCUGGACAGAUAUCUCAAUAAAGAUUGUGACAUCACUGACAUCCAGUCUGAGGAGGAGAGCCACCAUGCCCCUGAAAAAGAAAAAGAAGCGACCCAACUAGCCAGUCAGAACAGCCAACCAUCACCACCUCCACGAAUCUAUCAGACCCUCCAACGCCCCAAUUCCCCCAUGUUGUCUUACCCCAAUGUCCCAGCAUCGUUCCCUGGAGAUGAAUUGGUGUUCUCUCCAAUGAAUUUACUCCAGAGGCCAUCUCCUGAAGGUAUGCUUUUAAAAAGAAGUAAUUAAAUUCAGUCAAUUCAAACAUUCAAAUUCGAGCCAAAUGCAGUAUAUCCAGUCAAAUGGUUUAAUUUCUCUUUUCACAGUUGUUUCAGAUUCUUCAGAAACUGCCAGGUUGGCAUUAAAAGGUAAGUACAAUUAAAUCCUAGCGGCCCAGGCUUUUCUUUCCUCAAUGAUUUAAAUCAUUGAAGGAUUUACCACUUAUCAACUGUUAGCUUAAACCAAUGGAGGGAGACAUUGCUAAAAUAAACAACUGUUAAAAAGUUUGUUACCAUCAUUCAUUUUUCCAUUUGGAAUCAUUAUAACCAGCCU